UAGAAAUCAACUGUUUAAAAGAGAAACUAGAGGAAAGAAAACUCCGAUUACUACAAGAUUCAAGUCAGGUUCGGGACGGUUCUUUGUCAUUAACACUCACAGAACCAUUGUCGUCAUCAGCGGUCGUCCCGAUAGAGAAGAACAGAGCAGCUAAGAUCAUCCAGACGUACUGGCGCUCACACCGAAUACAGGAUCUAGUUAUUUUACAGUCCUGUCUCAGAGGGCAUCUAAUCAGGCAGAGGCAGGUAGAUGGACAGAGUCAAGCAGACCCAAAAACCAUCCCUGUUGCCAUGAGCCAAUCAGGAAUGAAUGCUCAGGCUGUACAGGAAGAGGAAGUGACUCUGCUGCAGUCUGUCUUUAGGGCUCAUCUCAAACGCAGCACUCUGACGAUGGACAGAGCGUCUGCAGUGACACAGUCUGCAUCUUCCAUACAUCAGAAGAAGCUGUAUCUCUCCACUCCUCCACUGCUGCCCAGAGGCUGCUCACAGGCCGUGUUUGCUAACAAAAUACAAACCUCAGGUGUAACUCAGAAUAAUAGUGAGGAGACUGCAGAGGAACUACAUCCUGCUAAUAAUGAUAAGAUGACAAGACAAGAGCUACAUGACAAGAGCUCAAUACCAGACCUGAAGAUCCACCAACAGCAACAAGCAACAGAAAUUCCAAACACCGUCGAUUCAGACGACUCUGAUGACAUCAUUGUGUCUCCUUCAAAGCCGAUGAGAAAAAGAAAAAUGCUUAAGUCCGUCCAGUGCUAAUGACUUGAUUUAGCUUCUUUAUUUACUAUUAGGAGCUGUUUUUUCUCUCGUAACUUGGAUCACACACUAUUACCUGAGCAACCUAAAAAGAAUUGAAGCAAGAAAAAAGGACUAUAUAUGGGCAAUAAUGACUGUACAGAGAAGAACAUGGAUCAUGGAUGAUGAACAUUCAAACAUGGUUCUGUCACACUUUACUAUUCUGUGAAGAUCAAAUUUUUUGACUUCUAGGAACUAAGCCUUCAAAUAAGGGACAAAUUACAGAAGAUGUGUCUUCUCAUUCCAAAAGUGCCUUAUGUUGAAUGAUAAUUUUUAAUGAGGAUCAGGGAUUUAAUAUUACAUAUUACACUAAGCAGGAUAUCGCAUAAAAUAUAUUUAAGCCAUUUAAGUGUGCAUUUAAGGUACACCUCUGAUUGAUACAAAAAGUACUGUGAAUCUCCACAAAUGUGGGUGAUGUAUGCUGUAUAAGACAACUUUGUUCAGAUUGGAGAAAGAAAAAUGACAGUAAAUACUGUUUCACUUAAAUGUUGUCAAUGUGUUAAAGGGGUCAUAUGAUGCUGCUAAAAAGAACAUUAUUUUGUGUAUUUGGUGUAAUGAAAUGUGUUUAUGCGGUUUAAAGUUAAAAAAACACAUUAUUUUCCACAUACUGUACAUUAUUGUUUCUCCUCUAUGCCCCGCCUUUUUGAAACGAAAUUUUACAAAGCUCAUCGGUCUGAAAAAGCGAGGUGUGCUGUGAUUGGCCAGCUAUCCAGUGCGUUGUGAUUGGCCGAAUACCUCAAGCGUGAGACGGAAAUGUUACGCCCCUCACCAUACUGUUGAUGCCGUGUCCCGGCCGGAGCGACGAGGCAAAAACAUAAAACCCA
ensembl:lncRNA